rnacentral:rRNA from 1 species
AUUGAACGUCGGCGGCAGGCCUAACACAUGCAAGUCGAGCGGAGCGGCGGACGGGUGAGUAACGCCUAGGAAUCUGCCUGGUAGUGGGGGAUACCGUCCGGAAACGGGCGCUAAUACCGCAUACGAUCAGCUGAGCCUAGGUCGGCUUAGCUAGUUGGGGGGGUAAAGGCCUACCAAGGCGACGAUCCGUAACUGGUCUGAGAGGAUGAUCAGGCACACUGGAACUGAGGCACGGUCCGGACUCCUACGGGAGUCAGCAGUGGGGAAUAUUGGACAAUGGGCGAAAGCCGGAUCCAGCCAUGCCGCGUGUAUGAAGAAGGCCUUCGGGUUGUAAAGUACUUUCAGCGAGGAGGCGUUACUCGCAGAAGAAGCACCGGCUAACUCCGUGCCAGCAGCCGCGGUAAUUC